ensembl:lncRNA
GAUUCCUCCACGUUUUAAGGGUCAUGAGGACAUGACUUGCUUUUCUAAAUACCCCUGGGUGGACCUAUGUCUGAAUCCCAAGGCUUCUGCAUCAGUUAGCAUUAUGCAACAGGAGGACACAGAUAGCAGCAGGUCGGACAAGUAAAAGUUCAUCUGAACUUACGUAAAGUCUGGAGGAGGCAGUGUAGCUGUUAUACCGUGGCCUCAUUAACUCAUCAAGGACCUAGGCUUCUUCCAGGUCUCCACUCCACUGUGUCUGGUGUGCUGAGAGGGCUGUUAUAGCACUAACCUUCACAUACACAUUCAGCAAAGCAGAAUAGAAAGAGAAAAAGUGGAAGGAAGCCAUCCUUCUUUACCUUCUCACGCUGCUAUCCAGAAGUAACACUUUGCUUUCACCCAUUGACCGGAACUUAAUCAGACAGCUGCAUCUGUUUGCAAGGGAGGCUAUGAAAUUUUAUAUGCAUAUAGAGAUUCUGUUACUAAAGUUCAGGGCAGAAUUACUAGAAGCUUCUGCCAUGUGGGUCUCUGUAUUGGCUUUCAUGAAGGGCAGAGGCACUAAGAAUUGAUAUGGCUUUCAGUCUGUCCUUGUAGGCUCCAGCCCCUGAUCUCUUCCAUGUCAUGUUCCUCUUCCCUUCCUGAACUCCUGCCCCAUGGAUGUCUACCUUAGCAUCAAACAUAAAGACAACACCAAAGCCUUACAGAGACUGCUCAACCAGCUCCACGUGUGUGCAAAGGCAGAGCUCUGUCAUAAAGACCUCUAAGUGGACAUGGAUGAAUCUGGAGAACGUCAUCCUCAGCAAACUGACACAAGAACAGAAAAUGAAACACCGCAUAUUCUCACUCAUAGGUGGAUGAUGAAAAAUGAGAACACAUGGACACAGAAAGGGGAGUACUAAACACUGGGGUCUAUUGGGGGGAAAAGGGGAGCGCCAGUGGGAGGGGGAGGUGGGGAGGGAUAGCCUGGGGAGAAAUGCCAAAUGUGGGUGAAGGGGAGAAGGAAAGAAAAGCACACUGCCAUGUGUGUUCCUACGCAACUGUCUUGCAUGCUCUGCUCAUGUACCCCAAAACCUAAAAUCCAAUAAAAAAUUUAAAAAUAAAUAAAUAAAUAAGAAUAGUAAGGUAAGAUCAAUUCUUCAGAUCAAUACUUAAAUACUUCUCAUAUUAAGGACUGUGUCUUAGAAUUUUAGACAUCAAAAAUACCUUGUAAUAACUAUUUAUAAAAGUCCCUAAAUUGUUCAGGUUAAAUGUUGUUUUCUAAAAAUACGUUUUUGAAAGAAAAAAAGGCAUUUAUAUAAAAUUUUCAUACAGAAAAAAAGGUGAAUUCAAGGUAAAUUUGUUACCAGUUUUAAAAACAAUUUUAAAAAUAAAAGUAAUUUAUGUUUGAGGCAAAAUAAUGGAUUGAGAAAUAGUAAAAUGUCUUAAAGAAUCAUUUGGAAAAUGAAGACUAAAUUGAGGAAACUUUAGCGAUUAUGGGAAAUCACAUAUAAGUUUUCAAAUGUACAUGAAGUUUUGGAAAUGAUGUUUAUUUAAUUAAACUGUAGAAAAAGGAAACGAGAUAACAUUCUAGAAAUAUGUUCUACAAUUUCUUUAUUUUAUAAAUGAAUUAACUCUAAGCCAAUUAUGAGGUAUAUGAGAUAAUAUUUCUUUUCCUCUAUCUCUUUCAUCCUUUUUUCCUUCUCUAAGUUGUAGCACCUCAAGCAGGGCCCCUUAAAGGCAAAAGCUUCCCAUCUGCUAAAAUACUUAUGAAAUCUAAUGGGUUUGUCUUCUGACAUUUGAGAUUUCAUUUUAUUUUGCUUUCUAUAGAGAACUCAACUGUCCAAAGGCCAGACUAGGAUGUCUUCUUUUAAACUCUCAGGCUUUCCUGUCUUCACUCAGUAUCAAGGUGUAGCUUUCACUACCACAUAACUAAGGCUACUGAUUACCCAAGUAUGGCAGUUGUCAGAAAAUACUUGCUGCAUAACGCUAGAAUCAUUGGAUAAUGAAUAGGAGUUAAAUAGGUGGAUUAACAUAACUCAUGUGUUCAAAGAAACAUAGAAUUUUACUUGCCUGCUUAAAUAGAUACCACAUUUAUCUGUGAAAUUUGCAAAUAGACUUUUUUUUUUAUAAAAUGACCCAAACUCUAUAAAUAGUAUGUGAAUAAUGGGAGUUUGUUAUUUAAUACUUAAUUGUCUACUAUGAAGACAGCUCUUGGAUGUUAACCCCCUAAAUGCCCUAAGUAGUCCCUUGUUAAAAGUAAAAAUCUGAGUCUCAGGCAAGUUUAGACACUUGCAAAGACCAACUUGGAUGCUUUAUGAAGACAGGAAGGGACGUCAGCUAAUCAAAGUGUGAGUAAACAAGGCAAACUGUAGCUCAGCUGUUCCCCAGUGAGAACUCUCUAUGAGAGGAAAUUAAGGAAUUUCCCUGCCUUUAUAUGAAAUGCUGCUAUGUAGUACCCAGCACACCAGUAUGCUGUAAGAUUUGUUCAAGCCCAUUGCUGUGCUGGGGAAUUGUGGGACCACUUACAUAUGUGGCAGGGUAAUUAGUAAUAGUUAAUUUAUUACUGAUAACAGUCAGUUAAUCUGGG